rnacentral:rRNA from 1 species
CCUACGGGUGGCAGCAGUGAGGAAUAUUGGUCAAUGGCCGAGAGGCUGAACCAGCCAAGUCGCGUGAGGGAAGACGGCCCUACGGGUUGUAAACCUCUUUUGUCGGGGAGCAAAGCGAGUCACGUGUGACUCAUUGAGAGUACCCGAAGAAACAGCAUCGGCUAACUCCGUGCCAGCAGCCGCGGUAAUACGGAGGAUGCGAGCGUUAUCCGGUUUUAUUGGGUUUAAAGGGUGCGCAGGCGGAGUGGCAAGUCAGCGGGAAAAUUGCGGGGGUCAACCCCGUACUGCCGUUGAAACUGCAACCCUUGAGGGCGCGAGAAGUAUGCGGAAAGGCUGGUGUAGCGGGGAAAUGCAU